GCUGAUUUUUUCUAUUUUUAGUAGAAACAGCAUUUUACUAUGUUGGCCAGGCUGGUCUUGAACUCCUAACCUCAAGUGAUCCACCCACCUUGGCCUCCCAAAAUGCUGGGAUUACAGGCGUGAGCCACCACACCUGGCCCAAUUUGUUGUUCUUAAUAGUUAUAUUAGUCAAUUGAGAGUAACUCAUUCCCAAAAUUCAAGACUGGAUGACACUGUGACUAAAAUGAAGAUCGAAAGGUAGGAUGGAAUGUCACCCAGUCUCAGGGAUUCUGCCGCCAGGGAAGUAGUAAGGACCCCUUUUGUAGCAAUUGUCUGAUCCUUCUCAUUUAGCAAGGCUAUGGAUUGAGUGUGUGCUUUUCCCUACUUUAGCGGCCCUGCCUACAAUUGAAGUUAUCCCACUUUGACCAAGGAACCAAGACAGUACAGGUAGUAAAACCCAAGGAGCAGGGCAGGAGGGUAUUAAAAACACAAAUGUCUUUGACUACUUGGUAUCUCUUCUCCUCUGUGUCCAUCUCAUUGAAAUUAAAAUAAUAAAGGCAGGGCUUAUCCCAGAGAAGGAAGUCAAAUCUGGUUUUGGCAUGUCCUAAAAUAAUUAUAAAAACAAAGUAAUGUUUCUUAAUUAUGGCUAAAUAUUUUUACCUGCAUAAGCUUUGCCACUGAUAUCUGCUUGUGCUUUCUUUACCAAAAAGAAGGGGGACUAUCAAGUGUCACACAAGCAUAAAAUUAUACAAACAGUAAAUAUACUGGUUCUCUUUGCUGUAAUCAAGGUAUUGAAAGAAAAUUGCAAAGAAAUACUUGCUGAGGCAAUCCUACUUAAUGCUGUAGCAGGAACGUGAUCAAGUUUGUUAGCAGCGGUCUUAGUGUUGUUUUUUGAGGGUGAGGGGUAGGAGAUAAUUCUACAAGCAGUAAGAACAAUCCCUAGUGUCAGGGAGUUCAUUUUAGAAAGCUAGUCCAGAAAUGCAAGGAAGAAUGAGAAAAAAGUCUAACUUAAGAUAGUAAUGAAAAAAGGAAGCUGGAUCACCUGAAAAAGAUUUUAGUGAAUGAUAUGGUAGAAGUGAGACAAAGAGAGGAUUAAAGGGAGUACAGAGAUUUCUAGAUUAUAAGUUUAUUUAAAUGAUGUUGUCAAUGCAAACUAAGACUAUAGGAAGCUGAACAGACUGUAUUUUGGAUGGAGACUAUAUUUUGUAACAGAAAUAAAAUUUGAAAAGCACGUAGAACACCUUGUUGGAUGUAUCUAGGAGGCAGUUGAUAUACUGAGCUUGGAAAUGCUCAGACCUAUUAUAUAAAUUUGGGAAUCAAUACUUUAUGCUACCUGAAAUCAUGGAAGCAGAUGAGACAACCCACAGUGACACAGCAGGGCAAGAAUACAAGAACACUAAAGGCAGAUCCCUUGGGUAAUCUUACAAGUAAGGGGAGGAAGCGGAAAUGAGGAGCAGCUAAAAAACAGAGAGGCAGAAGUAGAACAACAGAUACAAAUGACACCAUCAAAUACAAAGAGGUCAGAAACAAAUGGUUUGAAAAUCAGUAACCCAGAAGAAGUGAAAUAAAACCUACAGAGAUACUGAAAACAGAAGGACUAGUGUAAUGGCUUAAUAUCUCUUCCUGCUUUUUCCAAUUGUGAUUCUAUCAGCCUGGAUGAAGCACCUAUUUUCCUUCUUCUUCCUGGCUAACCUCUGCUCACACUCACUCUUGCCUACCUGCUCACCCACCUAAAAUGCAGCUGUGCUACUGUCCUCUGAUAACACACUGUACAAUCCUCUGUCAUGCAUUUCAUUUAAUACCCUAGAUGGCAGGUCUACUUUUUUAUUUUCUUAACAAAAAAUGUGGGCUCUUGGAAGCAAGGAUGCUACAUCUCUUUUUAAAUGGGGACAGUAUUUGGCACACUGUGGAUGCUUCUAGAUCACACUUCACAGCCUUUUGAUUAGAAAUGAGAGAAGUUGAUUGGAAAAGACUUAUCUCAAAUAUACCUAAUGAUAGUAAUUGUACAUGAAGAAGAACUUAAGCAAACACAAUUAGGAAAAAUUACAGCUCAUCAGUCAAGUGCUCAUAGUGAGACAGGGCUUCUAAGGAGAGAGAGAGAGAAAAAAAAAAGAGUAAAUGCCUAAUUUUGACUUUUAAUGCAAUGUUCCCUGGUUGUCUGACCACCAACUUCUGGAAACUUCCCAUAAUCAGCAUAUUUCUUAUAUGCCUCUAAUUUGUGUUUCCAAGUUUUCCUUGGCUCCCUCACUCCUGGCUUCCUGCCCUAAAAUGUCCCACUGCCUUAUGGAACACUGCUCAGCACAUAAAUCAGUGACACUUUGUUUCCCAGCAUGAGUACUGUGAACAGUUUACUCUUUGAAGAACCUCAAAGUGAACUGAAGAGAUCAAUGGGUCCCACUUCCAAGGAAGUGAAUGAUGUUUUAUCUAUACUGGUUUGCUGCUAAAUUUUUUUAGAGAUAGCCAGGAAGAGAACCUCCCAAUUAUUCUCAGUAUGAAUUGUGUAAUAACUAUAUGGGAUAAAAAUAUAUACCAUUUAAUUCUGUUUUUCUUGAAGGUGACCUAACAAUACCUUUCAAUGAAAAUCUGGGGACCAAAAUAUAAAUCAGUUCCAAUCAUCUCAAGAAAUAUUUGUUAUUUCAAUAAAUAGGUACUAUACUGAUUUCUGAGAAUAUAUGGACCCAACCUGCAUAUUCCUUACAGUCUAGCAGGGAAAUAAAACUGACUUUUAAUUAUUGAAUAGGUUGGUCUGUUCAGGCUGCUAUAACAAAAAGACUGCUAUAAGCCAUAGACUGGGAAGCUUAUAAACAACAGAAAUGUAUUUCUCACAUUCUGGAGUCUGGGGAGUUCAAGAUCGAGGCCUUGACAGAGUCAAUGUCUGGUGAGGACCAUCUUCCCACUGUCUUCUCACAUAGCAGGAGAAAUGAAGGACAUCUCUGGAGUCUCUUUUAUACAAGCUCUGCCCUCAUGACCUAAUCAUCUCCCAAACGCCCUUCCUUCAAAUACCGUAGCAUUGGGGAUUAGGUUUCAGCAUAUGAAUUCUGAAGGGACACAAACUUUCAGUGUAUAACACAAAAUAAAUAAAUGACAGCAUAAAGGACAAGAGUUUUUAACAUAUUGAUUUGAUGAUUGAAUAUUCUGCCCUUAAAAAGUGACUUUAAAUAUCUUAACAGACUCUAUUAACUCUAAAAACCUCAGCAAUGUUCUCACUGAGCAAGAAAAUUGUUGAAAGGAUCUUCAAACUCACCUGUUCCUUUCAUUCACUUACCCUCAUUUCUUAAGUGCCAUAUGAUCAUUCCCCUGCUUAAAUAUUAUCAGUGGCUUCCUAUCACCCAAAGAAUAAGCCUAAAUUCUUUAGCUAUGGAUUAAAGAAGCCCAUGAGUUCUUUGUUUCUUGUCAUUUUUAAUCAUUUAACCACUAUGGACUUCUAGCUUUAUUUCUACCAAAUAUCACACUCACCCUGAAAGACACGCCACAUGUACACACACAUUUCACACUUCAUAAUCUGAAACUGAGAGUUCCCUAAAAGUAUCAUGGUGGUUCACAAAGUCUACCUUGUACAAACUAUUCCCGUUGCCUAAAAGCCUCUCUCUACCAGUUCUGUUUCCCCGUGUCCUUCUGCUGCUGCUAAAUGCUUCUUCCUUCUUUUAGACUUUCCUGCUGGUCCUUCUGUGCUCCUCCAAAAAUGUUGGAAGUGUUCCCACUCCCUCUUAAUGCUCUCUGUGUUUCUGUGGACUCUUCUGCAUGCUUCUCUCUCAGCAUUUGCCACAUUGGUUAUGUUCAUGGAUCUCCUCAACCAGACUACAAGAGCUUUAAUAGCAGAGACAGUUUAGUAGAUUAUUUUGACAUCCCUAGCGUAUAAACCAACACCUGGCGUAGUACCUACUCAAUAUACAUUUACUAAAUAAAGCAUUUAUUCACAAAAAUGUGUCAUUAACAGUAAUAAAUAUUUCACACAAAGCAAUGAUGCUCAAAAUAAAAGAGUAGUAACAGAACACAAUUUUAAAUUAGUUUGGCAGGAACUGAAAUUCUAUUUCUAUUAAAAAUGUCAUGUAUCAGAAGGUAAUCCAGGGCUCAGCAGGUGCAAAGGUGUAAUCAUGGUUCUUGAGGAACAUUACAAAGCAUCGGUAAGUAGCUUUUUUUUUUUCCUUUCUCAAUAGCUAUAGAGAUAAACUUGUUUUAAAUACUCUGGCCUUAUAAAGCUGUACAUUAUACCACAGGCUAACAUUUGGUUGGUCCUUCAAAAUAAUGUGAUUUACAAACAUAAGCUUGCACAACACUAAGCUGAGAAUUGAUAGAUCAAGCCGUAUUUACUGCAAACCUGAAACCUUAUAUUAAUUUCCAUGUUUUAAUUAAAAAAUAUAUUUUACAAUAAUCUUACUAUGGUCUGCACUCAGAUCACAACCUGUAAUAGUCCCUGAUUUUUAUGGCUGGUUUUGUGUGGCAUACCUAAUGUACAAUGAAGUCUUAAAUGCUUGCUUAAUAAAGAAUUUUAAAUACAGAUUACACGAUUCUUCCUCUGCAACACUUUCAGCCUAAUGCCCUUGUUCUGCAGGGAAUUUAAUUAGCAUGUGCCCUGAUCUUGUCCUCCAAGCCUUCAUUGCUUCAGACAAGCAUGGGUUUAAUUGAGAGAAAACCAAGCUGUGACUGUGACUCAGGUUUAAAGGCUGUUUCUCUGAGCAAAUUAAAUCCUGUAGAAUGACUGAGUGUUCUGUUCCAUACCCUUCUGAUUUAAUGCUGUAUAUUAAUUGUUGUUCUCCUAUCUUCUACUCCGUGAUUGUUUUCCCCAGGAUCCUAUUGAGGGUGAUUGAUGUUCAGAUAAAUUUGUCGGUUUCAUAUAGAGAAAGAAAGAUUAACAUGUGCUAGUAGGAACACUGGGUUACAAGAUUUUAGAUUAACCUAAAUAUUAACACAAUAUUAACACAUGCUUUGGCAGAUUUAAAAAGGAAGAACAUGGUAAAUAAAAUGCAAAGCUGAUAAUCAAGAAAAAGAAUCCUGUUUUCUUAAGGACAGUUUCUAAUACCUCCCUGUAUAACAUAUAAACAGUUGUGCCUUUUGGUUUAUCGGUUAACCCUUGAUCAUGCUCAUAGACACUUGCAAAGAACUGAGGAGAAAACCAGAUUCUUAAGUGUUUAUUCCCAGUACCACCUCGCCUUCAUGUAGAACUGUAAGGUUCUGCAGGACAGGAGUAGGAGCCAUACCUUGCAUUGGUUACAGGCUCCAAAUGUGUUUCUUGAACUUGAAUUUUACUGUAACAUCCAAGUUUACUUAGAACAAGUGCAAAGGUAUCAAUUUUUAAACCACUCCUCAUUUUCCUUUCUCUUCAAUUUCUUUCUUCUUCUUCUUCUUCUCAUUAUUAUUAUUAUUAUUGUUAUUAUUAUUGAGCACUUACUUCUAUAAAUAGCCUCAAAACUUUCUGGAAUGAAGCAGAACAUAAAAACAGGGGAAAAUGAUGAAAGAAAAUUAAUUCAACAUUUUCACAGAAGGAGAAAAGAAAACUGGUAAAAACAUUUUUGUAGUUACAUUUCUAGUUUACCUUAUAUUAUCAGAGUUUCAUUUAACUGAAGUCUUCUGCCUUGUGCAGCUAAUGGUUUAUGUUAAAUGUAUUUGCCAAACUGGACUCCUUAGGAAGAAGCAAGUUCACUUGUGAAAUCCAACUUCAUCUUUAUUAACUAAAGGCCAUUACGAACGCUAAAUUUUUUGUUGAAAAAAAAGUCAUCUUGGGUAUGAUGCCAAUCUAAAUAAAGCCUACUUCAUGAAUUUGCUUAUUUUUCUCUUUUCCCUUCAGACAUUAGCCAGCUAAAGUUGUUACACAUACAUUAAUUACACCAAUUACUCCCAACUGUAUAUGUACAUGCAUUCAAGACUUGAUUAUCUGAGCUAAAAGAAGUGGUUAUGCAUGGCACAAAUAAUACAAAUAAGCAAAAAAUUCAAAUCCCAUGUACAUUGAAUUAAUGAAUGCAUUAUAUAUUUGUGGCACAGCUAAGUUACCUUAUUAUGUUUUGCUUAAUUUAAUAAUUCAAUUACCUUGCAUUUCCUUAUUCCACCCAGGUAAUGAAAGGGAAAGCAGGUCCAGCUUCAUAACAGGCACUGGAAAAAUCAAGCCUACAAUUUAAGGAUUUGGUGAUAGUCUUCUCUUUCUUCUCUGUUUUCAAAUUCGUCUUUUGUAUGUUUGUAGUUAGACAUUCCCCAUAAUGUUGCUUUAAUAUCCUACAAUGUCCAACACAUAUGGAAAAAUUAUCCUCACAGAUAUCACAAUAAAGAUUCAUGCAUUCAUCUCCCGUGAUUAAAAGAAGCUGGAAGAAAGCCAGUUCCUACCUAACAGUAAUUCCAAAUUUAAUUUCCUUGGAGUUUAGGAAGGUACUUAGUUCUUUGAGUUAAUCUUUAUAGAAGUUUCCUAGUUUAGAUCACCCUUUGUUAGGCUGCAUGGUGUAAUGCAGUGGUUCUCAAAAUGUAGUGUGCAAAACAGAAUAACUUAGAUGGUUUCUUGAAAGAGAUUUCAGGGCUUCCACCCCCAGGUUUCUGAUUCAGUAGGUCUAGGACGGGGUCCAAUAAUUUGCAUUACUAACAAGUUCUCAGGCAAUGCUGAUACCGCUAGUUUAAGAUCUCACUUUGAGAGUCACUAGUGUAAAGGUUAAGUUUAAACUCAAAUUCAGCACCACAAGCUAUGUGUCCUAGGGCAAUAUAUUUAACCUCCAACCUCAGUUUUCUUAUUUGAAACCUAGGAAUAAUAAUAGCAACCUACAUCAUAGAGUUGUUUUUUUUUUUGGUGAUUAAAUGAGUUAUACGUUUAAAAUGUUUAUAAAAAUGCCUGACACCUACUCAGUACUGAAAUAGUGUUAUUGUUGUUCUUUGUACUUACACGCAUAGGUCAUCCAGCAUAAUCAUAAAUGAAUUAACAUCAAAGAAACAAAAAAAAUGUCUUUCUCUGAAACAUUUGGCUGAGUGCUGGACACUGGGAGAAAAAGAAUGUUGAUAGGCUUAUUCUCCAGAGUGACCUGGAAAGGAAGAUUCCAGGGAAGAAUGUGCAUUUAUACUUACUGGAUUGCAAAUCAUGAAGUUUGGUGAAGAGGACGAUAAAAGUUGAUAUACGCCUCCGGUAGUCUUUUAUCCUAGGUCGGUGGAAUUCUCAAAACCCACAGAGGGCAGGGCACGGUGGCUCACGCCUGUUAUCACAGCACCAUGGGAGGCCAAGGCGGGUAGAUCACGAGGUCAAGAGAUGGAGACCAUCCUGGCCAACGUGGUGAAACGCUGUCUCCACUAAAAAUACAAAAAUUACCUGGGGGCCAUGACGCGCCCCUGUAGUCCCAGCUACUCGGGAGGCUGAGGCAGGAGAAUCGCUUGAACCCGGGAGGCGGAGGUUGCAGUGAGCCGAGAUUGCGACACUGCAUUCUAGCCUGAUGGCAGAGCAAGACUCCGGAAGAAAAAAAAAAAGAAAAGCCAUGGAAAUGUUUGUUAAGGCUUUAUUCUAGAUUGGUGAUUUUUUUUUUAUAUGGGAAAUGGAAUUUUCUUUGGUUCCUUACAGACAGGAUGGAAAUUAAGCAUUUAUUGAUAACAAAUCAUAAUUUUUAUUGUGGAAAAAUUAAAAAUCAAGUGAAUUUACUAUUCACUUGAUGCAUAUGAUUGUGGAAAAUUUGGCCAUUUCAAAGAAUUAUUUUGAAGUGAAAAAUCAAUAUUUUCAAGUGCCAGGUAAUACAGAGUUUUUGUUUGUUUGUUUUAUGUCUAAUUCUCACAAUCUCCUUUUUCUUUUGGGAAAAAAAAAAAAACAGAGGUUCAGACACGUCAAAUAACUUGCCUGAACACGUAUAUAGAGUCAGAAAUUCAAACCCAUGGUUGCCUGACCAUCUAGACUUUCUCUUUUUUUCUACUUUUCUGUUAUAUAAUUUAAUUAAAGAAUUUUUCCUGGAGGCAACAUUUUUAUAUCUCUUGGGGAAAAAACACUUGAAAGGCAAUUAUUAGUGACCAUAUCAUUAAUGUUGUUUUUAUUGGAAAACUAAUUGGAGAUACUGAUGCUUAAAUACACUUUUACUUUUCGUUUUAAACAUGGCAAUGACCUGCUUUAAGCGGAUGGAUAUUUCGGUAAACAUUUCCUUUUUUGUAAACAGUGGGUAGUCAGUGUAUGUUCACAUUUUAAAAGGUGUUCAUUGUAUUGAUUUUAUACUACCCUUAUUUUUUCCUAUUUAUUUCUUCUUAAAAAAAUCAAGCCCAAAUUUCCUAUUCCAUAGAAGGUGACAUUUUCAACAUAUACCUGCAUCCUGAGGUCCUUUACCUCAUAUGCCCAGAGUCCAUGAGCAAUUAUGUAAUCACUCCAUUUUUCCACUUCCUUUUCUACAUCUUCUUUGUCACAGGGAUUCACAUACUAUGUUGGAAUCACACACUUUCUUCUUUUGUUCAUUUUCAAACAGUAAUUGUGCCAGGCUUGUGACAUGCUAGGCCAUAUUUGUUGUCUUUCCUCUACAUGAGCUCAUUGAGGUCAAGGACUGUUUCUCAUUUAUCUCCUGUAACCCUGUUCCCAGCACAUAUAGAGGAGGGGAGGUUGGUCAAGAAAGAGUUCGGCAAGUAAAGCUGUAGAAGUCGGAGUCAGCUGAAUGUAAAAAGUCAACUGGAAAUGGGAUAGAUGAUGAUAUUAUCUGAUGAUAAAAACAAACUGCUAAAAGGAUGCCCAUUGCUGCUCUGUCUUUAUGACCUGUGCAAUCAAACCCAGAAUAAAAGAAUGUAGUGUAUUCACUAGGGAAUCAUUAAAUACAUCUAUGGCAAUACCAAAAAAGAAAGCCUCUAGACACUGAUCUUUCAAAAGGGCAAAUAUGUAAACUGAUCUCUGUCUCUAUCAUUGGAAAGUAACUUGCUAUUUUAAUUAGAGAUAGAAAGUAUUAUGAGGUAGGAAAGAUGAAAAGGGAAGAAAUAUAGUUAAUAAUUAUAAGAAAAGAGGAUGAGAAAAUGCAAUGAGAGAGAAAGAUCCUCAUGGUUAGAAUCCCCAGUGUGCACAGAAUUGUGUAUAGAAAGAUAUUCCCUGUAAAGAAAACAAUAUUAUGAAACAACUCAAACGGUCACCAGUUCCAGAAUAAUUAAAUAAAUUAUGGUGUAUCCAUAAAAUGUAAGACCACUCAGUUACUAGAAAUAUGUAUGUAUGUGUAUAUAUAUACACAUAUAUAUAAAUAUAAAAAUAUAUACAUACAAAU
rnacentral:lncRNA from 10 species